rnacentral:lncRNA from 1 species
UGUGUGUAAGAGAGCCAGCUCCCUACUAUGAAGAGACAGUUUCCUGCUUAUUACAAUAUUUUCAGGAAGUAUGCAAGACAACGGGGCAGAGCUAAGAGGAUCAUUUAUUGUCUACCAUUACCUACCGCAAUCCUCCAGCAAGAAAAAAGGAGUGGCAGUCUCACUGUGGACUCUACAGGCAAUAUGAGGUUGCACCUGGGUAGAAUUACACCUUCGUAUACGUGCUUUCCAAGCUGA